CCUACGGGUGGCAGCAGUAGGGAAUCUUCCACAAUGGGCGAAAGCCUGAUGGAGCAACGCCGCGUGUGUGAUGAAGGCUUUCGGGUCGUAAAGCACUGUUGUAUGGGAAGAACAGCUAGAAUAGGAAAUGAUUUUAGUUUGACGGUACCAUACCAGAAAGGGACGGCUAAAUACGUGCCAGCAGCCGCGGUAAUACGUAUGUCCCGAGCGGUAUCCGGAGUUAUUGGGCGUCAAGCGAGCGCAAACGGUUUAGGAGGUCUGAGGGGAAAACCCGGAGCUCAACUCCGGAAUGGCAUUGGAAACUGGUUAACUUGAGUGCAGUAGAGGUAAGUGGAACUCGAUGUGUAGCGGUAGAAUGCGUAGAUAUAUGGAAGAACACCAGUGGCGAAGGCGGCUUACUGGACUGCAACUGACGUUGAGGCUCGAAAGUGCGGGUAGCAAACAGGAUUAGAUACCCCGGUAGUC
rnacentral:rRNA from 1 species